rnacentral:lncRNA from 1 species
AUCAUUUCCUUCCCUAGCAAUGUUCUCAUAGCUACUUGUUUUCUUUUCUAAUUACUAGACGCAACUAGAGUAAUUCCACUUCUUUCUACAGGUUCUGCAGUUUGGCAGUGGAAUCUGAUUGGGACCAAAUUUGACUGUGAUGAUCCAUCCAGAAAACUAUGCGUUUGCUUUGGGAAGUUGGCUGUUGACUUCAGUGAAAUUUUCCCUGGACUCAUGAAGUUAUCGAGUUUCUGAAUAACAAUAGUAAGUUCUUUGUCAUUCUUGUUCUCCCCAGCUAUCAAAGUUCUAGAUAUUUCAGGCAUGA